rnacentral:rRNA from 1 species
GACGAACGCUGGCGGCGUGCUUAACACAUGCAAGUCGAACGAAGUGGCGAACGGGUGAGUAACGCGUAAUCAACUUGCCCUUCAGAGGGGGACAACAGUUGGAAACGACUGCUAAUCCCGCAUAUGGAUGGAGGGGAGUGGGUCUGAUUAGGUAGUUGGGGGGGUAACGGCCCACCAAGGCGAGGAUCAGGAGGCGGGCCGGGGGGGGGAACGGCCACAUGGGGACCGGAGCCCGGGCCAGACUCCUUCGGGAGGGAAGAGUGGGGGAUCUUUCGGAAAGGACGGAAGGCUGGCGGAGCAAAGCCGCGUUGGUGAUGACGGGCUUCGGGUUGUAAAGCUCUGUUAAUCGGGAAGCGGUACCGGAAUAGAAAGCCACGGAUAACUACGUGCCAGCAGCCGCGGUAAUUC